GACGAACGCUGGCGGCGUGCUUAACACAUGCAAGUCGAACGGAAAGGCCCUGCUUUUGUGGGGUGCUCGAGUGGCGAACGGGUGAGUAACACGUGAGUAACCUGCCCUUGACUUUGGGAUAACUUCAGGAAACUGGGGCUAAUACCGGAUAGGAGCUCCUGCUGCAUGGUGGGGGUUGGAAAGUUUCGGCGGUUGGGGAUGGACUCGCGGCUUAUCAGCUUGUUGGUGGGGUAGUGGCUUACCAAGGCUUUGACGGGUAGCCGGCCUGAGAGGGUGACCGGCCACAUUGGGACUGAGAUACGGCCCAGACUCCUACGGGAGGCAGCAGUGGGGAAUAUUGCACAAUGGGCGAAAGCCUGAUGCAGCAACGCCGCGUGCGGGAUGACGGCCUUCGGGUUGUAAACCGCUUUCGCCUGUGACGCAGCGUGAGUGACGGUAAUGGGUAAAGAAGCACCGGCUAACUACGUG
rnacentral:rRNA from 1 species